rnacentral:rRNA from 1 species
AUUGAACGCUGGCGGCAUGCCUUACACAUGCAAGUCGAACGGUAGCGGGCCUUCGGGUGCCGACGAGUGGCGAACGGGUGAGUAAUGUAUCGGAACGUACCUUUCAGUGGGGGAUAACGUAGCGAAAGUUGCGCUAAUACCGCAUAUUCUGUGAGCAGGAAAGCAGGGGAUCGCAAGACCUUGCGCUGAUUGAGCGGCCGAUAUCAGAUUAGCUAGUUGGUGAGGUAAAGGCCCACCAAGGCGACGAUCUGUAGCGGGUCUGAGAGGAUGAGCCGCCACACUGGAACUGAGCCACGGUCCAGACUCCUACGGGAGGCAGCAGUGGGGAAUUUUGGACAAUGGGGGCAACCCUGAUCCAGCCAUGCCGCGUGAGUGAAGAAGGCCUUCGGGUUGUAAAGCUCUUUCGGCCGGGAAGAAAUCGUAUCAGCUAAUACCUGGUGCGGAUGACGGUACCGGCAUAAGAAGCACCGGCUAACUACGUGCCAGCCGCCGCCGUAACAC